CCUGCAAUAAAGCAUUUACACAAGAGUUUCUAUCUCAAGCUCUAUUUCUACGGAGCUCAAACUAAAACUCCAUUUUAAUAACCUAACUAUUUUGAUUCUAGAAGAAGUUGGUUUGGCUCUAGAAACAAAAAAAAGUCAAUGUUUGGGCCACUAGAAUUAGUAUGGCUGGAAUUAGUAACUAUUUUCAUAGCAAAUGGACAAUGUUCAUCUUUCUCUAUUAGAAACUAGAUGAAGAAAAUGUCUAUGUGUUUAAAUCAUUUCAACUGACAGUCUGAAGUUUAUUCUGCUUCAACAAACCUUUACUCUUCUGAUUGUCUAGGUCUGGAUCUUCAUCCCUGUGACUUCUUUUGGUUUACCUUGCCCCUAGGGACUGGAAGAAGGGCUGAAGGUGAUCACAGAAGACCACUAUAUGCAACUAGCACUGAGGAAGUGUUGUAUUCACUAGAGUUACAGCAGAAAGUUAGACCCUUUGAAAGUUUGCAAUACCAACUUGUUCCUGAAUAAAACCAUGGGUAUAAUAUGGCUUUGUAAAAGAAUCUUUGUUUUUUGGAGAUAUGUACUGAUGUCUUUAAGGUAAGGGACAACUUAUCUUUAACUGACACUCAAGUAGUUCAGAAAAAAAUCACACACACACAUAUAUGGAGAGAAACAAAGAGGUAAGCCAUGAGAUUAACAUGUAGGUAAUCUGGGCGAAGAAUAUAGAGGAAUUCUUUGUAAAAUUCUUGCAUCUUUUCUGUACAUUUGAUGUUAACUCAAAACUUUAAGAUGAUUAAGAAUAAGCAUCUACAUACAAAACUCAUAAAACAAACAAAGUUUAGUUCUGUUUAAUAGCGAACCUCCAGGCUCCAUACUACAAAACUUGUAAGGAACUCCAACUUCAGCCUGCCUCAAGGGAAAGUGACCUGGUUAGCUUCUCUCUCACUCAUCCAGCCUCCCACCCCACCCCCUACUCACUAGCUCCGUUAAAGGUUCUUCCACAGGUGGAAAGUGACGGAGGGGAUAAAGUAAAGGGCUUUUGUCAUAUAUGGCUGACAGGGUUGUAACCUAGAGUUGAUGCUCUCUGGGAAGGCAAUGUACUAAAGUGAACUAUUGCUGUCAAUGGGGCUUUUGCGGGUAUUUUUGAAGCUCUUGCCCAGCACUUACUGCAUUUCCUACCGUGGGUUAUGCCUCACCUAGCUUUUUACUCAGUAGUCCACCUCCAGGGAUGGUUAGUUUUAUGUCUCAAUUUGGCUACAUUAUAGUUCUCAGUUACUUAGCCAAACACUAAUUGUAGGUAUUGCUAUGAAGGAGCUGUGCAGAUGCAAUUAACAUCUACAAUUAGUGGACUUAACUAAAGGAUAUUAUCCUCCAUAAUCUGGGUGAGACUGAUCCUCUCAGUUGAAAGGCUUUAAGAGCCCAACUGAGGUUUCCCUGAAGAAGAAGAGAUUUCACUUAUGAACUGCAGGGACAGCUUUCAACUAAGAGUUUCCAGCCUGGACUUCCUGAUGGCCUGCUCUACUAGUCCCCACAAUCAUGUAAGUCAGCUCCUUGCAAUAAAUCCUAUCUAUCAUCUAUCUAUCUAUCUAUCUAUCUAUCUAUCUAUCUAUCUAUCAUCUAUUACCUAUCUAUCUACACUACUGGUUCUAUUUCUCUUGUAGAAUCCUGA